UUCUUACGCAAGAUGCUACCAAGAAGCUUGUCCCUGCUCUACUAAUUUCCUGCAUGGAUUAUUGCAACCCUCUCCUGAUUGGUGUUUACCAAAAGACGUACUGCACCGCUACAGUCCAUAAUGAACACUGCUGCCAGACUGAUUUUCCUCUCUAGUCGGUUCUCUCACACCUCACCCCUCUGUCAGGCCUUACAUUGGCUUCCUGUAUGCUAUAGGAGUCAAUUCAAGGUACUAAUUCACACCUAUAAAGCACUGAACAACUCUAGCCCCUCUUAUAUCUCUUCACAGAUCCAUAGGUAUGUCCCUUCUUGGUCUCUCCGCUCUGCCCAUGAUCACCUCUUGUCCGUUGUCCGCACCCGUCCGGCCAACUCACGCUUGCAGGACUUCUCGCUCCUAUGGAAUAGCCGGCCUACCGCCAUCAGACUCUCCCCUAGUCUUGCAUCCUUUAAGAAAAGCUAAUGGCCUCCCAG